ensembl:lncRNA
GGAAGAGGUUAAUAAAAUGGAAUGAGGAUUGACUUUUGAUGUGUGCUUGUUUUUUCAGAAUGCACUAGAAUGACUGAAAUGACUGAAUCAGCGUGGAAGUAAAACUGUAGUUUCCCGAGACAUCCCAGGAACUGUUUUUCAAACUGAAACCACACCUUUGGUAAUCAUCCAUUUAAGGCCAGGUGUGUCUGGCUCAUACUUUUAAUCAGUUUGUUGUGAGGCAAGUCAAGUUGAUCUAUUGUUCUGGUGGACCAAUUGGGUUGUUUGAUGAAACAAAGCUUCAGAUGUCAUUGAUCAUGUGCUUCUGAUAGUGAUACAGGCAUCGGCACACUGCUUUGAGUUUAGGUAUGGCAGCUUCACAAUUUGAAAAUGGACCACAUGUGGCAGCGGGGCACAUUGGGCCACACCAGCCAGUUCCUCAGCCCAACCCUGGCACAUGGCACCCAGUGCAUGGACCCGAAGGAUCAGGGCCCCAUCUAACCGAUCAUCAGCCCCAUCCUCAUGUGCACCAGUCUCGACCCUACUUCUAUGUGCAGCCCCCUCCUCCUCUCCCCCUCUACCACUACCAGUGGCCCAUGCCCUACAACCCCUGCUCUGGAAUUCCAGGAAUGGCUAAGUUUAAAUAUGUUUUUCUUACCCAGUAGUAUAAAUGCUGUAUUAUGUCCAGUCUGGAGGUAUAAAGUAAUAUUCAUGAUCAGUAA